CUCUGCUACUCUUCAGUCCUGUUUCUAAACAAGUUUUCUGAUCUUGUUUUUCUCCCCUGCCUUGUAGGUCAACCUUCUACUGAAGGAAGCCGUGGAAUCUUUCUGGUCUCCUGUUUCACUCGUGUCAUGUUCAGAGGAGUUUGGAAACUCCAGCCUCGACGCCCCAGCCCUGAGCCUCCACUCUGCUUCCAACUCCAAGCCCAGCUUCUCAAGAGCCACCUCAACCUAACCAUCCACCCUCCAACGUUAUCUCUCCAACUUCUGUGGAGCUUCCCAGAAGAAAAGGAAACACAAGCAAAGGAACACAGCAAUUCCCCUCACAAAACUGUGCACACCCUGUGAGCCUCAAGUCACCAUGGAAAAGGACUUAUUCCCCCCAGCCUUACCAAGACCUCAACAUAAGAGAUCCCGAUUUUGCCCGCUGCUCCAAUCCAGGUUCCCGUCCAACCAUACAGAACUGAUUGUUAAUAAACGGUUUAAAACAUUG